CAGUCGAGCGGAAGAAGGGAGCUUGCUCCCGGAUGUUAGCGGCGGACGGGUGAGUAACACGUGGGUAACCUGCCUGUAAGACUGGGAUAACUCCGGGAAACCGGAGCUAAUACCGGAUAGUUCCUUGAACCGCAUGGUUCAAGGAUGAAAGACGGUUUCGGCUGUCACUUACAGAUGGACCCGCGGCGCAUUAGCUAGUUGGUGAGGUAACGGCUCACCAAGGCGACGAUGCGUAGCCGACCUGAGAGGGUGAUCGGCCACACUGGGACUGAGACACGGCCCAGACUCCUACGGGAGGCAGCAGUAGGGAAUCUUCCGCAAUGGACGAAAGUCUGACGGAGCAACGCCGCGUGAGUGAUGAAGGUUUUCGGAUCGUAAAGCUCUGUUGUUAGGGAAGAACAAGUGCAAGAGUAACUGCUUGCACCUUGACGGUACCUAACCAGAAAGCCACGGCUAACUACGUGCCAGCAGCCGCGGUAAUACGUAGGUGGCAAGCGUUGUCCGGAAUUAUUGGGCGUAAAGGGCUCGCAGGCGGUUUCUUAAGUCUGAUGUGAAAGCCCCCGGCUCAACCGGGGAGGGUCAUUGGAAACUGGGAAACUUGAGUGCAGAAGAGGAGAGUGGAAUUCCACGUGUAGCGGUGAAAUGCGUAGAGAUGUGGAGGAACACCAGUGGCGAA
rnacentral:rRNA from 1 species